CAGAACACAAAAAUGUCUCAAUAACAAGGUGAGAUUUUGUACAAUUUACAAAGAUUAAUAAACAUUACAAAAACUAUUAACGGUUGACAUGUUGAUAGGCAUCAAAGCUAGUGGUUCAAGUCAACCAGUCAAUCGUGAGACAAACGGAUUACAAAGAUUAUAAUUUUCAAUAGACGAACAUUUUGCUCCAAUGAGUUCGAACAAGUAGACAGAAUUCAUGGCUGUGAUUUUGACUAUUUUCUUAUAAAAUGACUAGCUUCGUUGUAUAAUAUUGAUUAAUCACCAACGAAUAGCUGAUUCUGAUAAAGGAAUGAAAUUAUUGAACAUGUUUAUUGGUGUUCACAAUUUUCAACUAAUGCCAUCUUGUGGGUCAAAAGUAAACGUGAAGCUAUAGUUAAAAACCCAAAUAAUAGAUGGCGAAGAGAAAAAACUUCAUUAAGUUAUCAUCUGUAGUCAAUUUAACCCAAUUUUUAUUCCGUUUUAAUUGACUUUUUUCAGUGAAUUAGUUCUUAUCACUUUUUCAUGGUUGAACACUUUCUUUUUGUUUUGACAGCUUUACAAGUGUGUUUAUGAUUGAUUUAAGAGAGAUUAAGGGCCAAAUUGAUUACUCAUCCGAAUAUUAUGGAUUACAACUUGACGACUUGCAAUCUUAAAUGUGACAAUAAAACUGGAAAGAUUAAAUGGAGUCUUUCAACAAUUGUGUUAUUAACUGUUUAGCCGGAUAACUUAUAACUAAAUUAGGCUUUAAACUGGAAAAGGAGAAAAUUGAAAUGUCAAUGGAAAAAGUAAAAGAUUAAUUUAAUCUUUGCUUAUUGGAUCUCAUCAUCUGAACCUGUUUAUCCUAAUGGUCCUAACCAGAAACCCUAAUCAUUUCAUCAACUGGUGGUUUAUGAAACUGUAAAGGAAAGAAGUGGAAAAGAAUUAAGAAAGAAUGGAAAAGCCAAUAAAUGACACAAAUCCAAUUAACUGAUUGACUGGUUUAUCUUGUACGGUUUUGUAAAGUAACUGACAAAAAAAGAGCGACUUAGCAAUUCCAGUUAUAUUGGUUGAAUUAAAAUCUUAACUAAGUUUCUCGUCAAGUAAUCAAAAUGUGAUGAUCAUUUGAUUUAUAAAUCACUCUGGUUGACUUUAAAUCAUUCUGUUGGAAAAAGAUGGUUACAACAAUCUUGAAGCGAUUCGCAUGGAAAUACAGUUGCUUCAAUUAAUCAAUUUUUCUCUACUUUAGCUUCCUCAACUUUUUCCUUACCUCUUUACACUUGCCAUCUAUACACAUUACCACCAACCAGCAUCACAUAAUCAUCACACAGAGAUUGCCAAAAUAAAAUAGCUGACGAAAACAGAAUACAUCAAAAUCUUCAGCUGCAUUUACUUUUGAUAAUACCAUUUGGAAAAAUCCAAGAAAGCGACUUUAAUUAGACUAUUAACCAAGGAAAGCCAAAAAAGACUGCGUUCGCGGCCAUAACAUUAAAUCACUGGAUUUCUAUUAAAGUAAAUUGUGAUCAAUCAAGUCAUGUUGAAGACUGUUCAAUACUUAACCAAUCGAGUCAUAAGAAGUCAACUGAAUGGAAAGGAAUGGAAAAAUGUAACCUAAAAGUAUAUUGGGAAUUCAACAAAUUGUUCACGAGAUUAACUUUUGUUUUCUCAUCAAUUUCAAGCAAUUUCACGCAACUAAUCUACUCGAUUAAAGAUAAGCUCAUGAUGAUUCAGGAUGGUGGUUAAAUUGACUAAAUACAGUGGGAUGGAGCAAACUAAAGUGAAGUAAAAAAUUCAAUUCUGACCAUUCAAUUGGAUAAUACUACAUCAAGUAAUCAAGCAAAUAUGGAAAAGCGUUUUACACUCAAAUGAAAAGCUCCAAGCUAAUGUUUUUCACACAACAUUAGAACCUUUCUGAACCUUACCAAAGGUUAUGUUCAACAGUUGAAAAGCGAAACAAGUAAAGUAUCAAACCCACACCCAGACGGAAAGUGGAUUAAAAACAAUUAUCCAGAUAACAACAGCGUUAAUGUAAAGUAAUAAUUUUCUGUCCUGUUUACUGGGAGUAAAUUUUCCAUCUAAAUAAUUGAACCUGAUUCCCUGAACAUUUGGCUAAAAAAGAGAGUAAAGUUAUAAAUAAAGUCAAUUUAUAUCCAAUUUGAAGUGAAAAGGUAAAGGUAAAAAAAGCAAAAGGAAAAAGCAAUGAAAGAAGGAAAAGACAAAUAAAAUUCAUCAUGUAUUAAUCAAAAUUACACUUAAAAGGUUGAAAUUGGAUCGCCUACAUUCAACAUUAUUUUGCAACUUGGCCAAAAAUUGCUCCAUCAGAAUCAACCUCUUGAUUAAUAAUUGCUUGAAAUUGAAAAGAUAAACAAGAGUAAAAACAAUUGAAAAAUUUCAUGGGUUACAUCAUUUGUUUGUUCUAGUUUAUGUCAUGUUUAUUCCAAAUAGCAUGUCAAGUUGAAAUGUAUUUUUACUCCUUUAGCUUCUUCCUUUGCUAAUUCAUUUAACUAUCUUGAGAUGAUCAUCAUGCAGAUGUAGCCUCUUAGCUCAAGUUUUUACAUGAAUAAUUUGGCCAUUUCAAGCUUUGGUCGCAAAGACAAAAACAAAGCCAAAGAAAGUCAAUGAGACUUAUUCAAGAAUUUUCAUCUUCUCAAUCCAAGCCAUUUUCAAUUGGUACUCUGUAUGUUUAUCAAUAAUAAACUUUCAUCAAGUAAAUUGUUAUCACGGAAAAAAGUAA